CCUACGGGAGGCAGCAGUGAGGAAUAUUGGUCAAUGGGCGCGAGCCUGAACCAGCCAAGUAGCGUGAAGGAUGACUGCCCUACGGGUUGUAAACUUCUUUUAUAAAGGAAUAAAGUCAGGCACGUGUGCCUUUUUGUAUGUACUUUAUGAAUAAGGAUCGGCUAACCCCGGUCCAGCAGCAGCGGGAAUACGGAGGAGACGAGCGUUACCCGGAUUUAUUGGGUUGAAAGGGAGCGUAGAUGGGUUGGUAAGUCAGUUGUGAAAGUUUGCGGCUCAACCGUACAAUUGCAAUUGAUACUGGCAGUCUUGAGUACAGUUGAGGUAGGCAGAAUUCGUGGUGUAGCGGUGAAAUGCUUAGAUAUCACGAAGAACUCCGAUUGCGAAGGCAGCUUACUAAACUGCCACUGACAUUGAUGCUCGAAAGUGUGGGUAUCAAACAGGAUUAGAUACCCUAGUAGUC
rnacentral:rRNA from 1 species